rnacentral:misc_RNA from 1 species
CAAUAAGAGUGUUUAUGGCACUCUUCCAAAAAUCCAUACCCACCUUGUGUGCAACGUAAGAAGAAAAAACGCGAGUCAUGGGGGGACAGAGUUGGCAACAACAAAAGAAGCCCAAGACUUGCCUUUUUCUUUUCCACAUACACCUUUCUAUAAGUUCCUAUUGUCUGAAGCUGUUAGAGAAUUGACUAAUUCUUAAACAUAACUUUCAACAACGGAUCUCUUGGCUCUCGCAUCGAUGAAGAACGCAGCGAAAUGCGAUACGUAAUGUGAAUUGCAGAAUUCAGUGAAUCAUCGAAUCUUUGAACGCAUAUUGCGCUCUUUGGUAUUCCGAAGAGCAUGCUUGUUUGAGUAUCAGUAAACACCUCAGCCAGAUUCUUUUUCUGGAUGGACUUGAGCAAACCCAACGUGGCCUCAGGCGGCGGCGGGUUGCUUAAAAUGCAGGUGCAGCUGUGACAAGAACAGACUGAGCUAAAAGCAUAUCUAAUUUAGUCCGCCUGGCGGAUUAUCUCUAUUUGCUGCAGUUCAACCAAAAGUCGUCUUGUCGGGCUGACUGAUGCAGGAUUUGUCAGACUUUCUUUCUCUCUCUGAGAGAGGGGCUUCUUUCAAAACUCGAUCUCAAAUCAAGUAAGACUACCCGCUGAACUUAAGCAUAUCAAUAAGCGGAGGAGGUCAUUUAGAGGAAGUAAAAGUCGUAACAAGGUCUCCGUUGGUGAACCAGCGGAGGGAUCAUUACAGAGUUGCAAAACUCCCAACCCUUUGUGAACGUACUGAAAAGUUGCUUCGGCGGGAGGCUCCUCAGGGAGCGGACCGCCGGAGGAAUCCAAACUCUUGUUUUUUUGGCAUCUCUGAGUAGCUUAUAAAUAAGUUA